AGACAACUAGUAGAAUACGAACUUCUCACCACCACUAGCCAAGACAUAGAUCCCUUGGCAACACCUACUUGUAUUCACCCCUGUACAAGCACUUAGGUACAAGAUAAUACAAAAUCUCAUCCCCCGCUCGACGUAGGGCCUUCUCUUGCCCGAACCAGGAUAAAUCUCCGUGUCAUUCUUGCAUCACCAUCUGGAAGAGGGAGCACGCACACAAAUUCACUCGUUGGUGUUGUUGACGGUCCUUAAGUACCAAAUAUAAUCAACAAAUAAAAAAAGAAAAGGAUCCAAAUGCAACCAACACCCAGACUUAGGGUUUUAUCUAACAGAAUUCCAUGAGUUUUGGUGUUUGUCUAUUUCUGC
rnacentral:lncRNA from 1 species